rnacentral:lncRNA from 1 species
CCCAUUUUAUCCUCCAAAAACGCUGAUAUGGCAAAGAAAUACCUAUGUGGCAGUGCCAACUUGAAAAAUGACAUUAACAUGUCAUUAAAACAACAUUUUUUAAUUUAAAAAACCAACUUAAACAUUUCAAAAAUUAAAAUAAAAAAAAUUGAAAGAAAAAAAAGGAAAUAAAAUUGAAAGAAAAAAAAAAAGGAAAUAAAAUUGAAAGAAUAAAAAAGGAAAUAACAUCUCAAGUGCUUCUUCAAUUUUCCAUCUUCUUCUUUUCCAUCGUGUUUCUUCAUCUUCUACAUACUCCUCCAUGUUCUUCUUCUUCCAUUCAAACCCAAAUUCAUGAUUCUUCAUCAUCUUCAACCCAAACUGAUGUUGUUUCAACCAUUUUUUCUCCCUCAAGAACAACAACAGUUUUCAAUCUAACAACACCAACCACAAGUAUUUUUUUUUCCAGAAUCAUGUUCUAACAUCACCAACACAAACUCUGAUACAAACCUUCAAGAACUCAACAACAAUCACACAUUUUCGAUUUCCAUCAACCAACAAACAUACUCACAAAGCCACCAUCAUAUCACAAUAACCUCAAUAUCCAUUUCAAAUAACACAAAAACGCAAACCACCACUGUACCAGUUCGAAUCAAACACAAACACUUCCUUUUUCGAAAUAAAACGACAACAACAUCAAUAAUCUAACCUUAUUUUCGAAACUGAAACGAAAGAAGAGGUAGUUUUUUUUGUUGUUUCGUAUUUUGAUUUGUAGAUCUAGAUUGUAUAUGAGUUUUCUUUGAAAAUUUGUUUUUAAAAAUAGAAAGAGGUGAAGGAGUAGAGCAAUUGCAUUAAAAAAAAAGAAGAGGAUUUCUUUUCCGGCGCGGCGGUGCCACCGUGGUGGCUCACCAGCCACCGCGCCAGACCGGCCAAGUCUCGUCGGAGAAGAUGAAGACAAGCGGACGUUUUAGAGAGAAUGGAGAAGGUUGUUGGGGUUAGUGAGAGAAAUAAAAAUGGGUUUCAAAGCUUUCUCUUCCCCUUUUUAUUUUAAUGAUUUUAAAGCAAACAAAAAAUAAAUA